CUAGGGCGGCUGCAGUGGGGAAUAUUGCACAAUGGGUGCAAGCCUGAUGCAGCCAUGCCGCGUGUGUGAAGAAGGCCUUCGGGUUGUAAAGCACUUUCAGCGGGGAGGAAAGCGGUGAGGUUAAUAACCUCAUCGAUUGACGUUACCCGCAGAAGAAGCACCGGCUAACUCCGUGCCAGCAGCCGCGGUAAUACGGAGGGUGCAAGCGUUAAUCGGAAUUACUGGGCGUAAAGCGCACGCAGGCGGUCUGUCAAGUCGGAUGUGAAAUCCCCGGGCUCAACCUGGGAACUGCAUUCGAAACUGGCAGGCUAGAGUCUUGUAGAGGGGGGUAGAAUUCCAGGUGUAGCGGUGAAAUGCGUAGAGAUCUGGAGGAAUACCGGUGGCGAAGGCGGCCCCCUGGACAAAGACUGACGCUCAGGUGCGAAAGCGUGGGGAGCAAACAGGAUUAGAUACCCUUGUAGUC
rnacentral:rRNA from 1 species